UCCGAUUCAAUACCUUGAACCCUCAUUACUCUGUUGGCACUUCGAGUAUUCGCUCGUGGCACUGACGCACUGACACUGACACUCACGUAGAUGCAAUUCGAUCGGGAAAACACGUGUUAAAUUAAUGCAAUGGCGACAAGAAUCCGAUAAAAUAUUUCAAGAACCAACGGAAAUUAUAAUUAACUUAUCGACACACACGUGCUCCGCGUAACGGUAUGUACGUCUCUCUAGUAGGCUCAGCAAAAAAUAACACGAUAUCGGAGAAGUGUACUGGGCGCGCGAUUGCGAGACAAUGGAUAGAGAGAGCUACGUCGUCCCGCGGCAGUGCCGGCCGCGAGAUGACAGUUAACACUAUCAACAUACGCGCCGUACCUUCAGAGGUCAAAUCUACCUUCGCGCGUCGCGCGCUUUUCCAAAUGUUUCCACUACGCCUUGAGCCGUCGAGCAGCACGCGUAUCACGUAGCACGUGUGGCUGUGUGUUUUUUAUCAUUCCCGUCGAGUGAUCCAAGUAUUUCAUUGGCAUUUGAAAUAUUUAAUUGAGCUUCUCGUUGUCGCGUUAAUUAAUACAUGUAGAUCAAAUUGUAUCUGUGAGCGCGAGCGUCAGUGCAACGAGUGAGUAUCUUGAACGACAGAGAACAGGAUAUCGAGUCGGGAAGCGAGGAUGAAAGAUGUAAGAUGCCGGAGGAGAAGGACGACUUCACAUCCAUCAGGAACGCGACGAUUUUCCUUUCCCGUCGGUUUUUGUUUCAAAUCGCUACAAGAGGACGUCUACAAGAGGAGCUAUUGACGUUUUGUAUUGAUCCGUGUGUUUGAUCCGUCGGCGCUCUUUUGCGCGAGGUAUGUAAACAGUGAAUGUAAACAGUGGUGGCAUCCCGCGGGGCUAUUUUGGGAGGCGCAUACAGGAUGGCAUGCAGCGAACAGGUUCCGUUAUUCCCACUCCGCUCAGAUAUAAACACAGCCACUCCGUUUACGUGGUCGUACCUCUCAUUUUAUGAAGAGGAUAUCGUGAAUACAAAGAACCGGUACAACAUCAGGUGGCAUGCUCUUGGUCAGACGUCACGUCGAGUCGAAGCUUGAUUCAAUGACCCGAGUCGCAGCUUUAAACGGCUAUUGCUUCUUAAUGAGUAGAUGUAGCGGCACGAGUUACAGGAAUUUGACACGUACACGGACCCCCCCGAGUAGAGGGCAUUGUUGUAGGAGCGCGGUGGUGCUCCUACAACGAUGAAUGCGCGAGUCGAUGUUUUUGGGCCGGGCGACCAUCAUUGGAGGCAUUGAUAAACAUCGCUUUGUGCUGUCAACACGUCCUAUGCCUGUCAAAAGUGAGCCCUCGCGCCUAGAACGAUGUCGAGAAUGCCGAAAUAUCGAUGUACGAUCGUCGGGACGUACGGAUUAAUCAUGUCGCUUCACGAGGACGUUCGUCGAGUUUAGGAUUAUAGUGAGCAGUGCAAGCAUCCUACAGAUCUGGUAGAGAUUGCAACUACACCGGGGAAAUUGCUGCAAUCCUGCGGGAUACUGGAGGAUCACAGGGAUACAAUAUUGAAGGUUCAUAUUUGAGCAGAGUUAUCGGCAAUAAUCUGGCAGCACUUGCGGCCGUGCGCGGUAAAUGCGGUUCCGGGGAACGUUGAUGCUGUACCGGAGGAUCCGGUUCGGGCAGAGCAGGGUCGACUCGGAGAUAUACUGGUUAUUAGCUAACUCUGUCUGCAAGUCGUUUUGACCUAGUGAAACUUGCUGUGACGUGGUUAACGCAGUACAUACCGGAGGAUCCGGUUCGGGCCAAGCAAGGUUGGCUCGAAGAAUUGAGUAGCUGAACGUGGCCAACCUUGAUCAAUAGUUUGAAACUGAGAGCAGAUGCUGCAUGACUGCAAAGGGUUAAGGCGAGCAAGGGGAGCGCGACUUCUCCAUGGGACUUCUUCGACAGCUAUUGACUCGCGUAUCAUUGCCCGAUGUCAUGCACUAGCAACGAACCUCCGCGCUCGAGAGGUCCAACGCCGCGAGAGAGCAAGAGAGGAUUCCAAUCGUAUAACCCGAUCUAAUUGCGACGUGGACGAUGAGGAUAUCCAGACUCGCGCGUUCUCGGGAAAAACAACUCUCCGUGGAGCAUCACGAGAAAAUCAAUGACAUACACCAUUUUCGGAUCCGCAACUAAUAGUCACU